AGUGAACGCUGGCGGCAGGCCUAACACAUGCAAGUCGAGCGGCAGCGCGGGGCAACCUGGCGGCGAGCGGCGGACGGGUGAGGAAUGCGUCGGAAUCUACCCUGUCGUGGGGGAUAACGUAGGGAAACUUACGCUAAUACCGCAUACGACCGAGAGGUGAAAGUGGGGGACCGCAAGGCCUCACGCGAUUGGAUGAGCCG
rnacentral:rRNA from 1 species